rnacentral:rRNA from 1 species
AUACGUAGGGGGCGAGCGUUGUCCGGAAUUAUUGGGCGUAAAGAGCGCGUAGGCGGCCUUUCAAGUCAGCUGUGAAAUCCCCCGGCUUAACCGGGGAGUUGCAGUUGAAACUGGAGGGCUUGAGUGCAGAAGAGGAGGGUAGAAUUCCUGGUGUAGCGGUGAAAUGCGUAGAUAUCAGGAGGAAUACCGGUGGCGAAGGCGGCCUUCUGGUCUGCUACUGACGCUGAGGCGCGAAAGCUAGGGGAGCGAACAGGAUUAGAUACCCUGGUAGUCCUAGCCGUAAACGCUGGGUACUAGGUGUAGGGGGUUUAGAUACCUUCUGUGCCGCAGUUAACGCAUUAAGUACCCCGCCUGGGGAGUACGGUCGCAAGGUUGAA